rnacentral:rRNA from 1 species
UAGACAUCUGCUUGAUGCUGCUUUCUAAACCUUACCUCUAUGACAAUCUGA